rnacentral:rRNA from 1 species
CGUGGUAACCUGCCCUAAAGCGGGGGAUAACAUUUGGAAACAGAUGCUAAUACCGCAUAAAACCUAACACCGCAUGGUGUAGGGUUGAAAGAUGGUUUCGGCUAUCACUUUAGGAUGGACCCGCGGUGCAUUAGUUAGUUGGUGAGGUAAAGGCUCACCAAGACCGUGAUGCAUAGCCGACCUGAGAGGGUAAUCGGCCACACUGGGACUGAGACACGGCCCAGACUCCUACGGGAGGCAGCAGUAGGGAAUCUUCCACAAUGGACGAAAGUCUGAUGGAGCAACGCCGCGUGAGUGAAGAAGGUUUUCGGAUCGUAAAACUCUGUUGUUGGAGAAGAAUGUAUCUGAUAGUAACUGAUCAGGUAGUGACGGUAUCCAACCAGAAAGCCACGGCUAACUACGUG